UACGUAGGGGGCAAGCGUUGUCCGGACUUACUGGGCGUAAAGCGCGCGCAGGCGGACUGGUAUGUGCCGUGUGAAAGCGCCGAACUUCCUUCGGCGAGGCCAUGGUAGACAGCCAGUCUUGAGCCUCGGAGAGGUCGAUGGAAUUCCGGGUGGAGUGGUGAAAUGCGUAGAGAUCCGGAGGAACACCAAAGGCGAAGGCAGUGUCCUGGGGAGUACCUGACGCUCAGGGACGAAAGCUAGGGGAGCGAACGGG
rnacentral:rRNA from 1 species